GACCUGAUAGCACAACUGAUUAGUGCGUCUGCUCAGAAUCUUCAAUUGUCCACGAAGGUUAAGUAGAAGACCUCCGUUCGACUCGGGGUCAGGUCA